AAGUCGUAACAAGGUUUCCGUAGGUGAACCUGCGGAAGGAUCAUUACUGAGUGAGGGCCCUCUGGGUCCAACCUCCCACCCGUGUUUAUUGUACCUUGUUGCUUCGGUGAGCCCGCCUCACGGCCGCCGGGGGGCUUCUGCCCCCGGGCCCGCGCCCACCGAAGACACCAUUGAACUCUGUCUGAAGAUUGCAGUCUGAGCAUAAACUAAAUAAGUUAAAACUUUCAACAGCGGAUCUCUUGGUUCCGGCAUCGAUGAAGAACGCAGCGAAAUGCGAUAACUAAUGUGAAUUGCAGAAUUCAGUGAAUCAUNGAGUCUUUGAACGCACAUUGCGCCCCCUGGUAUUCCGGGGGGCAUGCCUGUCCGAGCGUCAUUGCUGCCCUNAAGCACGGCUUGUGUGUUGGGCUCCGUCCCCCCGGGGACGGGCCCGAAAGGCAGCGGCGGCACCGCGUCCGGUCCUCGAGCGUAUGGGGCUUCGUCACCCGCUCUUGUAGGCCCGGCCGGCGCUUGCCGACACAUUAAUCUUUUUUCCAGGUUNACCUCGGAUCAGGUAGGGAUACCCGCUGAACUUAA
rnacentral:rRNA from 1 species